ACGACGCAGAGGACAUUCGCAAAAGAUUCAUCCUCACUACAACUGCGAACUACUUUGGAUUGAAGCCCUCAUCCGAUCUGUCAGACGGUCGGGAGCUCAACAAUUUCUUAGAUGAUGGCAAUGAGUUUGUUUUAGCAAUAAUCAAAAAUGGAAAAGACUUGCAACUGUCAAAUAGAAUUGAAUCCGGUGACAGCAACGAGAAAGUUCUGGUAUUCUUCAAGCUACGUCCUUCUGUGAUCACGGAGGAAAACCUGCACCAUAAUGUGCUUGUGUCCUCCAUGUUAGAGUCCCCUAUCAGCACACUGUAUCAAGCAGUGCGACAGGUGUUUGCGCCAGUGCUUCUCAAGGAUGAGAAGUGGAGCAAAUCAUUUGAUCCCAAACUUCAAAGUCUCCUGAGUGACCUUGAGUCAGGCUUGGGCUCUGUGGUCAGGCAGUCGAACCCAGAGAACUCU